rnacentral:rRNA from 1 species
GUGGGGAAUAUUGGACAAUGGGCGAAAGCCUGAUCCAGCCAUGCCGCGUGUGUGAAGAAGGUCUUCGGAUUGUAAAGCACUUUAAGUUGGGAGGAAGGGCAGUAAGUUAAUACCUUGCUGUUUUGACGUUACCGACAGAAUAAGCACCGGCUAACUUCGUGCCAGCAGCCGCGGUAAUACGAAGGGUGCAAGCGUUAAUCGGAAUUACUGGGCGUAAAGCGCGCGUAGGUGGUUUUGUAAGUUGGAGGUGAAAUCCCCGGGCUCAACCUGGGAACUGCCUCCAAAACUACAUGACUAGAGGACGGUAGAGGGUAGUGGAAUGUCCUGUGUAGCGGUGAAAUGCGUAGAUAUAGGAAGGAACACCAGUGGCGAAGGCGACUACCUGGACUGAUACUGACACUGAGGUGCGAAAGCGUGGGGAGCAAACAGGAUUAGAAACCCUAGUAGUCC